rnacentral:lncRNA from 1 species
CGUUCGUCCCGCCCCUUCGACGGUGACUGUCGCUUCCCGCUGGGGCUCCUCCGGACCGCGGUCAGGUGUGACCGCUGGGAGGUCCAGUUUUACAGAACUGUUGCUGGGAAUCUUCUAGGCCUGUGUGGCCAGAACGCCGAGGUUGUGGAGCGGAAGGUGCCGCCCAGCGGCCUGGGUAGAGCCCAGUCAGAGCCCAGCUCCUAGCCGAGCAGGGGCCCCCGCGGCCCAGAGCGGGCACACUUGCGGGGCUCGGACACUGUCUUCGUGGUGAACAGCUUGCUUUGCGUUCUGCCAGUCACACCGCUGGGAUCUGUCCGAACCGUCCCAGUGUCUUCACUCCUGCUGUCUCGGCACAGCUGUGAACAUACUGCUCCUGGGAGCAUGACAAUCGCUUGACUCCAAACCUGGGGAAUAAGAGAGGGCUGUUGAGUGAUAGUUGAACCUAGAGAAGAGCUGCUUCCAAACACAGCAUUGAGAAGUCCCCUGUGGGGUGUUCAUUUGCCCUGAACGCCUCCGAAUCUGCUGAGACCACCUGUUCUCAAAGGCCUCUGAACAGCUGCUUGUCACUGAGCCAGGCCAGUCCUCCCUUUGAGAAGUAAUGUGAUCUCCAAACACGAGCAUUAAAGCGCCCCGCUCUUCCUGUUUUUUUUUUUGCUGCCUACCCCAGCUUCUUAAGUCCUUUUUUAAAAACAUACCAACCCGGGCACCUUCUGAUACAUUAGGUAAAAUGCCUGCAUGAACUUGUGGACACAGAACUGAAAAACAAAAAGCAAAAACCAGAAAAUGUGAUACCACCAGGGAACCCUGUGGUUAUGGAUGGAACCUCAUCACCUAUUCAGAGGGGCUGGAUUUCAUCGUGUCUCAGCUGACUCAUCACCCUGCUGGUUAAUUCUGAGCUGGUGUUCCUUCUGGCUGCUCCAUGGACAAAAUACUGCCAGAGACGAGGGAAGACCAGCGAGGGGUCUGAGACACCAGUCCAGGAGGGGGGAUGAUAGCGGCUUGGACCAGAAGGGCAGCAGCGGAAGUGGAGAGAAACAGCGGGGUCAGAUAACUCCCACUUUUCUACCACGGAGAGAAACACUGGCUGUCAGUCAAGAGGACAGAAGAGCAGCCGGAGUAAAGUCUGCCAGGUGACGGCUGGGUUUCUGGCCAGUUACCACCCAGCACAACUAUGCAGCCCAGCAGGCCUUCAGAGCUGGGCUUGAAGAUGUGUUCAGGUACCACAUCUGUCACUCUUCCACCAGGCUCUGGGGACACUGGUUCACUUGGUUUUUUGUUUGUUUGUUUGUUUGUUUUUCCCCAGUGAGGAUAUACUAUAGCUCAUUAGCAGAGGGUUUUCUGUUUGAUUUUUUUUCAGCCACACCCGUGGCAGGUGGACGUUCCCCCGGGGGGCUCAUGGGUGGAAUCUGAGCCACAGAUCCUUAACCCACAGCACCACAGCAGGAACGCUCCCAGCAAAGUUUUAUAAUGCACAGGAGACUAGAGCACACAUAAAUACACCUCCCUUCCUCCCUCCCUCCCUCCCUCCCUCUCUCUCUCUCUCUCUCUNACACACACACACACACACACACACACACACACACACAAAGAGGAUUUAAAAAUAAACUUUUAAUUUUGGGAUAGUUUUAGAUUUGCAGAAAGGUUAGGAAGAUAGUACAGAGUUCCCUGUUACCCGGCCCCCAACGUCCCCUGUGGCUGUAACUGCACCUUAUUAUGGUCCAUUUGUCACCACCAAUGAACUGAUAGUGAGCCACUGUUAUUAGCUAAUUCAGAUUUCCUUACUUUUCACCUAAAGUACUUUCUCCAUCCCACGUUGCAGGAAGUCAUCAGGUCUCCUUAGCCUCUUCCAAAUCUGUGACAGCUUCUCAGACUUCCCUUGUUUUUUAUGACUCGGACCUUUUCAAAGAGUCAGGUAUUUUCAGAAGGUCCCUCAACUUGGGCUUUGUUUUGUUUUGUCUUUUUGCCAUUUCUAGGGCUGCUCCCGCGGCAUAUGGAGGUUCCCAGGUUAGAAGUCCUGUCAGAGCUGUAGCCACCAGCCUACACCACAGCCACAGCAAUGCAGGAUCUGAGCCGUGUCUGCAACCUACACCACAGCUCACGGCAAUGCUGGAUCCUUAACCCACUGAGUAAGGCCAGGGAGCGAACCGGCAACCUCAUGGUUCCCAGUGGGAUUCGUCAACCACUGUGCCACGACGGGAACUCCAACUUGGGUUUGCUGAAAUUUUUUCCCCAUAGUUAAACUGGUUACUGGUUUGGCAGAGGAAGACCACGGAGGCACAGCGCCUUUCCCAUCCCAUCAAAUCCAGGGCCCACACCAUCAACCUGACUUGCCCCUGCUGGUGAGGACCUUGCUCACCGGACUGAGGUCGUGUCCAUCGGGUGUCUCCGCUGUGAAGCGCUGUCUCCCCACCCCCGCCUCUGUCCGCUUUGGAAGAAAGUCCCCACGUGCCGCCCACUCUUAAGGGUGACGAGUUCUCCCUGAGGAGAAGUAGCUGGAAUUCAUAUGCACCAGAGACGACUGUCUCUUUUCCUCAUUUAUUUAAUCAAUCGGCUGUUUAUAUCAGUGUAACCUUGUGGAUAAUUAUUUUAUGCUUGGGGUUUCAACCCACCCCUAUGCUACUUCCUGCUCAAAUUGUUCCAGUUUUGGCCCUGGGGAGCCCUUCCCCUCAGCUCCUUCGACAAACCCCAUCGUGCGUGUGUACGUGUGUGCAGCACUUCCUUACUCUAGAAGAUACUCCAGGCUCAUCGUGUCUAUUCCCUGCCCCAGCCCAAGAAUCCGUCACUUCUCAGAGGAGCCCGGGCUCCUUUUACUGGGGACUGAAUGAUACUGGAAAUCAAGAUCAGAUGUGCUCCCGCCUUCUAAGCCCUCACAGCGGACGGCGAGCAAACACCUGGGUGGCUGCUAACAAUGUCCAGCUUAUCUAGAAAUAUUUCUAAAUGUAGCCAUCUGUUGCAACAGAGGCUAAGCAUGAGUUCUCGCUUAGGUCCCUGACUCUAAUCCACAGGGGUCCCUCCAGCUUUCCCCCCCCCCCCCCCCCCCCGUGCUGGUCUGUAACCUCCCACUCCAACAGAUGGCUGCCACCAUCCACCGACUUCAUUGUUCAACUCCAGUGUGUGUGUAUAGUAUGGUUUCAGAAUUGCUAACCUGGCCCCCCAUAGGAAACAACUUUACCCGCUACAGCACAGUGCUCUGCGCAGUUCUCUUGCCUUGCGUUUUACAGACUCCGCUCACUUCCAGUAUUACUUAGGUCAGCAUCUUCUCUCCCAUCCAAACCUCCUUUCCUGGACUGGUUUCCCCUUCUCCUGCCAAUAAACCUGGCCGGGGGAGGGGGGGGCUCCGGCAGUGGAGUCCUCUGCAGGGGCUGGAUCCCCACGCCCUAUCGGCUCUCAUCAGUCCCCUCUCAUCACUGGACUGAGUGACAUCCCCCUACCCCAAAACAACCCAGGUCAUUCCUCUCGACUUACCUGCCAAGCUCUGUGACCUCAGGGAUGGACCUGGCCCCAAGCCCAGCUCUGGUCAGUCUUAGGACUGACUCCUGUCUGAGGACCACUGUGCAUCCCCCCGGGACCUCACAGCGGGGGUCAGCCGCUCUGGGCCCUGGCCAAGCUGUCCAGCCAUCCUGCUGGCCCACCUGGUAACUGGGGCCUUCUCAGAUUACUCAGAGGAUCACUUUGCCUUAGAAACUCCAGCUGUCACCUCGGACGCAUCAGUAACUGAUGCCAAGGCCCUGAGCAGCAGAAGGCUGGCAACAAGUGAGUGUCCCCAGGUGUCCUGCUAGCACUGUGCUCUGUCACCGCAGCCAUUGCCAUCACCAGGGAAGAAGGUGAGCAAACCCAGAGGGAGGUGCGGCACCCAGCAUUCUGGAAUGGGGAGCCCUAGGAUGCCUCCCUCCCGUGAGCCCUGUUGGGAGCCUGGAUUCCUGUUGCCAGGGGAAAGUGAGGGAGGAGAGACCCAGACGGGCAGCUCUGCAUGGGUGAGAGAGGGCUUAGGGCAGUCUGCAGGGGUGGAAGACACAGCUCAAAGGCCUGGGGUGGGGAGUGGGGGGGUGGGGAGUUCAAGUGCUAGCAGUCUCUUUGGCCCUGUGGCCUGCACAGGGUGGGGGUUAGGCUGACGGGCAGCCCUGCCACAAGUUGAUGGUCAGAACAGGUGUCCACAUGGAGGGGGAGCAAGUGCCCGGGCCCCCAAUUCCGUUUCCAGCCAGCCCCUCUUUGAUCAAGGAGGCGCUGACUUCUCUCACUGUACAAGAACUGAUCCAGGCCGCUCCAAGACAUGGUGAUGUCCCACCCCACCUGGGCACAGUGGACCCAAGAGUCCCAGUGCUGCCACCAUGCGACAGAGUGAGUGUCCCUGAAGCUCCAAGGCAGCACCAUUGCUUGCAGAGGAGGACAAGGGCCCCUGGGGUGGGCUUGGGAGUGAGCCUGCCAGCCUCAGGGUGCAGCCUCCUCCACCCCACCCAGUGUGAAGUGUUCCCACACCAUGCCCUCUGGUGGCCAGGUGACACAGGUUCUCACUGGAUGUCACUCAAGGACGUUUCCUCCUAGAAGGGAACCAAAGGGAGAAUGACACCCAUAGGAUGGGUGGGUGGGUCUCCAAGCAUCUUUGGAGGGCUGAGGGCCUUCAAAACCCAACCCUGGAAUUCCUGUCGUGGCUCGGUGGUUAAUGAAUCCGACUAGGAACCGUGAGGUUGUGCGCUUGAUCCCUGGCCUUGCUCAGUGGGUUAAGGAUCCCGCAUUGCCGUGGCUCUGGCGUAGGCCCGCAGCUGCGGUUCCAAUUAGACCCCUAGCCUGGGAACCUCCAUAUGCCGCGGGUGCGGCCCUAG